rnacentral:rRNA from 1 species
UACGAAGGGGCUAGCGUUGUUCGGAAUUACUGGGCGUAAAGCGCACGUAGGCGGAUUGUUUAGUGAGGGGUGAAAUCCCAGGGCUCAACCCUGGAACUGCCUCUCAUACUGGCAAUCUCGAGUUCGAGAGAGGUGAGUGGAAUUCCGAGUGUAGAGGUGAAAUUCGUAGAUAUUCGGAGGAACACCAGUGGCGAAGGCGGCUCACUGGCUCGAUACUGACGCUGAGGUGCGAAAGCGUGGGGAGCAAACAGGAUUAGAUACCCU